rnacentral:miRNA from 1 species
UAGAACAUGAUACAUGACAGUCA